rnacentral:lncRNA from 1 species
CUAUGCUUAACCCCACCGUCAUGACUUGAAGUUCCAGGAAGCAUAGAGCUUCGGAUGCUAAAAGUAGCACUGAUUCCACAGCUCGUCUGCAGUUAAUGAGGUUGAGGUUGGUAACGUCGUAAUAGAAAAGCUAAGAGGUGACGAUGAGGGAUGUCUAGAUGGAAGCUCAAUGACGGACAUGCAGUGUUAACGAAAUGAGGAUUGCGAAAACUCUACAGACAUGUCUGUGAAGCGCUUCACUUGCUCUCUUGAGAAGUUUGCCUGUCCCAAUUCUGCUGGUAAGAGCUCCUGGAGGCGCUUCGCAUUGCCACAGUCUGCUUCCGACAACUCGAUCUGCGGCUUCGCCACCUCGCUGUGCGGUCUGCGUAGGUUUUCUCAACCAAGGCUAACAUGGCCUGUGCUCUAACCAACUCUUGUUAGACUUCAUCACUCUCGGCGAGCUUGAUAUUAGGUACAUCUAGCCGUCACUAAGUUCGACUAUGUCGGGCUCAUGUCUGUCCGAGCAAAUAUCAUUCAAUGCGAUGGGAAGCAACCCAACAUCAUAAACGAUCGAAUUAUGCUUGACCUGAUCUUUGCGUCCUAUCGACAUGAAACUGACAUGGUUGGCAUUAAGAUGAUUGAUUCAUGGGUAGAAAAUAUCCACCUGCUCACAUGCCUGGUUUGAUUUUCCACGUGCUGCGCAUUCAGCCAUUUUAUUCUGUGAUCUAAAACAUUGACGUCUUUGGAAUGUGCACUAGGAAAGAGCUCACAGAUUUCGACGACAUCUACAAGAUCAGUUCCCGUAUGUCUGCUUGCGAUUAUGGAAGGAGCUAGUGUUAACUGCACAUGCGGUGUAGCGCCACGAUUUAAGGCUUACACUGGCGAUGGAUCGGCAACGUACAAACAAUGACAUGAUUGGUUAGAUUCAGGUCGAUGCACAAAAUGCAACAAAGUCGUGUUUCCAUGUUAUUUACUACCAGAGUGAUACCAGCUAUCGUCGUUGGGGUGGUCUCCACCUUGAGUACAAAAUAGAAGAAUUGUUUUAUCAUUAAUACUAUGACAUUAGUCAGAUACGUCAGGUAACAGAAAUUGGAUCUGCUCACUUCGUAUUUAGAUACUAUGCCAAGAUGAACAGAAUUCAUGCUGGUAGAGAGUCCAGCGAUCAAAUCGAUCCCUCGCUCAAAAGUAAGUCAUAAUCAGGUGUCUGACAGUGCUUAGACCUCCUACCUGACUCAUGAAACUUCCCGGCCCGAUUGUCGAGAUUCAACAAAGUGUUUCCAACCCCAGAGUUGUAAUUUGCUCCUAUUUCGAGUGGACUGCCGGGAAAAAACUCAGUCUUGGAGCAGCUUGUUUGAGGAAAUCCUUCAAAGAAACUGCUGUAUCCAUCUCAGGUGCGGCUGGAUCUACGGAGGCCCGGUUUUGAGAUUGCGUUAGGAUUUCAGGAAAUAUAGAAAGGGCAAGAUCACUACCUGGUGGUGCUAAACAGAGUGAAUUGCAUUGAAUCCUACGAAUCCCAGCAGACGUUUGACUACGCUGAUCUGUGAAAGCUAGAACUUCCUUCUCCAAGGCACUAAAACUGCGCUUCUUGUCCACACUGGAGACUGAGGUGCUUAAAUCGACAUUAGUGCCGCAUGGUCUGAUGGAGAGAGCUAAGGACGGUGUGUUAACAUCGACGCUGGACGGACUCGUGGGCAAAGGCUUGGACAGGGUGUAGCAAACCUCAUGAUUCGCGAGAUCGAUGGAGCUGCAUCGAGUGAUUUGAGACCUGGAGUCGUGACUCAAGUGACUCUUAUUCCCUGUUAUUUUCGAGCCAGAUGCCACAACAUGGGAGAACCCCGAUUUGGGAAGGCGUUGCGUGAACGAGAGUAGCUCCAGUUGGUUGCGUCGAUCUAAUAGCCAAGGAGGCAUUGCAACACUAUAUGCCGUCUGGUUCUCUUGAAUCCGUCGGGAGAGCUCGUAUUCGUUGACCUUGGUGGAAUCUGCAGAUCUCGCAGCGGUGUCCCACGUUCCCGAUUGAGCAAAGGAUAUGGCUUGAGUUGUGUCACUAGAUUGGCUGGGACUCUCACAAGAGUUUCUGCCAGUGGUGUUACUCUGGUGAGACAGUUUUCUUUCGCUUUCAACCCCUGAUUGCAAUCUCUUGUGUUUCACUGCGCCACAAGAGUCUUGGUGCUCGAUGAAACUCUCCACUCUAGGUGAAUUCAUCGCCAGAUGGAAGGGUUUAGAUUGGUAGAUCCAUAAAAUGAAAAUAACGUUCUGCGCUGAAUGCAAAUUUGUAAAACAAGGGAAAAGCCCUUGAAUCCAAUACUCUAUUAAUAAAGUAACCACUAAGUAAACUUUCUCCAAGC